AUAAAAACUAUCGUAAGUAGUAUUAUUUCUUUCGUCCUUGUUUUAUUUCUCUCUCUUCCUCUCUCCCUCUUCCUCUCCCUCUUUUUCUCUCUCUCUCUCUCUCUCUCAUUAUUUAAUCCUCACACACUCGUAAUCAUCUUAUAAAUUAUACGAUCGCCCUCAAACGUAAUCGUUUCUUCGAAUAUUACGCUCGAUUCUCAUGUAUUUCGUAUGUUUUAAAAUUAAAAAAAAAAAAAAAGAUAAGAAAAAAAAAAAAAAAAAGAACAGAAAAAAUUGUAGCAAAACUUUCAAUCAAAAAAUUUCGUUAAUGAGAAUUAAAAGAUAUCAAGGAAGAGGAAAUCUCUGUUCGUAAAAAACAAAAAA